CCCCGUGGCUGGCCUCGGCAGUGAGCUUCCCCCGGACGCCUGUAAGGACGCUUCGGGCUCAAUAUAUAGCCUCGCUUAGGCGGCUUUUUCAGCUCAGGGUGAGGCGCCGGCGCUACCCAGCGCGCAUUGCGGCUUAUGCUGAUUUAGAGCCGCCCAUUCGUCGGAAGGGGGUUGGGGGCGUGUCCCGGUGUGAGGGUUAAAGCGCGGGCUCAUGGGGGGGGGUGGCUCCGCCGUCUGAGGGGCUGUGUUCGGAGCUGGAGUCGCGAGCCUGCGUGGUGGGCAGUGGGGCUGAAACCUGCCCCACUGUGGGGCCCCAGGCUGUGCGGUCUCGAUUUCGGUCUGACAGGCUGUGGGGCUAAAACUUGCCUGUGACGGGCUAUAGGGGCUGCUUGGCUCCCAGGACCACAGAGCUGGAAGUGACGGGCCGAGCCCAGGAUGCUGUGCUGGGCAAGCCACUGGAAGGAUUAGAAUCUCUGGAGAUGUCCCAUCUGGAGAGCCAGCUGUGAGGGAAGAGUUUGUUUAUAUCCUUAAGAAGAAGGACCAGAUCUUGGACUCAUGUAGGGAUGAUAGUCCCCAGCUUUCCCCUGGAAGGCUGGGGCUGGCCUGGAUGAACUACAGAUUUUACUUGUCUGCCCUUGUCCCUAUCCCAGCACAGAGUCACCUCCAGCUCAGCCCAGGAUCUGUUGUUCCUCCCUUGUGAAGGACACAAUGAAAUCUUGCCCAGGUGACAGUCUCCAGGGACUGCUCUGCAAAGACUUGCCAGACCUCUGGCAGCCACAGACUCACUUAAAUUUCAACAGCAAGCUAGUUGGUGCCAAAGCCCAUUUGUAUCACUGAGAAAAAUGGUAAAAUCAUUGUUAGGUGUUCACUAAAAUACUCUAAAUUUUAGAGAACACGAAGCAUGAGUCAGGCAUUGAAACCAGCAUCCAAAGGAGGGAGGGAGUGGUGAGGGGCAGCAGAAGUGCUUAUGAAAUAUUUUGUUUCACUGGCAAGAGGACAAGAAAUAAUUGGGCCUUAAAUCAAGGAAAUGGGAGAAUAGGAACAGCAAAUCAAGGGAAAUAGUAGAAAAUUAGGUCUUAGAGUAGAGAAAUGUGUACACAUGAUCACCUGGUGGUUCUGGCAGAGAUAUAUGCCCAUAAAUCUUCUCUUUUAACCUCUUCCCUGUUGCUUUAUGGGGAAUAGUGUCAGGCUUGCUGGCCCCAUCCAUCUUUUCUAGAGACUACUGGUUUUGGUUUCAACUUGCUUGGUGCUGAGUACCCACUGAGUGGCCUGAAUCUGCUUUAGAGCUGGAGAGGGAGCUCCCAGCCUGCCUGGGGGCAGCCUGGAGACUGUGACCCCCAAGAGAAGAUAAUUGUGCAGAUCCAUCCUGUAUGUUAGAUGGAUGGGGUGAGCCAUGGAGGACUCUCUUCUAGAGCUUGUAGUGUGUGUGUUCACACUCACAGAUGUUGAAACCUAGAAGAGUAAGGGAGCCUCUGUGGAGACCCAGGCAAUUUUCCCUGCUAUUUAGGCACAGGACACCUCAGCAGCUUCUUCCAUCCACAAUUUCUGCUAUUUAAAAAAAAAAAAAAGUUAUUAAAAAUCCCCUUUAUGCCUCCCUUAAGGUCCCAGGCUUACUUUUCUUACAAAAAUAAUGAAAUGUAAAAAUAAAGCUUUCCCUGUUUGCUUUCUGCCA
ensembl:lncRNA